rnacentral:rRNA from 1 species
AUUGAACGCUGGCGGCAGGCCUAACACAUGCAAGUCGAACGAGUGGCGGACGGGUGAGUAAUGUCGGGGAAACUGCCUGAUGGAGGGGGAUAAAUACUGGAAACGGUAGCUAAUACCGCAUACCAACAGAUGGGCCCAGAUGGGAUUCGCUUGUUGGUGGGGACACGGCCCACCAGGGCGACGAUCCCUAGCUGGUCUGAGAGGAUGACCAGCCACACUGGAACUGAGACACGGUCCAUACUCCUACGGGAGGAAGCAGUGGGGAAUAUUGCACAAUGGGCGCAAGCCUGAGGCAGCCAUGCCGCGUGUAUGAAGAAGGCCUUCGGGUUGUAAAGUACUUUCAGCGGGGAGGCGUUACCCGCAGAAGAAGCACCGGCUAACUCCGUGCCAGCCGCCGCGGUAAUAC